UACAGGAGGGUGCAAGCGUUAAUCGGAAUUACUGGGCGUAAAGCGUGCGUAGACGGUCAUGUAAGUCGGGUGUGAAAGCCCCGGGCUCAACCUGGGAAUUGCAUUCGAGACUGCAUGGCUAGGGUGCGGAAGAGGGAAGCGGAAUUUCCGGUGUAGCGGUGAAAUGCGUAGAUAUCGGAAGGAACACCAGUGGCGAAAGCGGCUUCCUGGUCCAGCACCGGACGUUCAGGCACGAAAGCGUGGGGAGCAAACAGG
rnacentral:rRNA from 1 species